rnacentral:ncRNA from 1 species
CCCCCUCAAUUUAAGCAUAUUAAUUACGGGAGGAAAAGAAACCAACAAGGAUUUUCUUAGUAGCGGCGAGCGAAAAGAAC